GUCCACGCCGUAAACGAUGGAUACUAGCUGUUGGGCGCAAGUUCAGUGGCUAAGCGAAAGUGAUAAGUAUCCCACCUGGGGAGUACGUUCGCAAGAAUGAAACUCAAAGGAAUUGACUGGGGCCCCGCACAAGCGGUGGAGCAUGUGGUUUAAUUCGAUGAUACGCGAGGAACCUUACCAAGGCUUAAAUGUAGUUUGACCGAUUUGGAAACAGAUCUUUCGCAAGACAAAUUACAAGGUGCUGCAUGGUUGUCGU
rnacentral:rRNA from 1 species